rnacentral:circRNA from 1 species
AAGAAGAGCCAACAGACUUCCUGAGCCGCCUUCGAAGAUGUCUUCCCUGCUCCCUGGGGCGAGGAGCAGCCCCCUCUGAGUCCCCUCGGCCUUGCUCUCUGCCCAUCCGCCCCUGCUAUGGUUUAGAGCCUGGUAAGAGAUUUCCAUGAUCAUCUAUGAAGCCGGCAGAACACGGGAUAAGGUGCUAGUUUAAGAUCACUCAGCUAGGGGGUGGCUGUGUGGAGUCUCUAGCACCAGCCUUCAGGACAGAACCGUCCUGUCCUCUCCCCUCCCCAGUUAGAUUUCUGUCAAUUCUGUGGGUUGGCUUUCAGAGAGCAUUUGGUCAAUCUGGUUGUUGUCUCUUUCCUUCCAUAACUACUUCCCUGCCC